ACUAUAAAAUUAAAUAAUAUCUUUAUAUCUUUAUGGUAUAAUACUAAGAAAAUAUUCGCUUCAGAAAAAAAAUACUAAGAAAAUAUUCCUACUAAACACCCUAUUUAAUUACUUAAACAUCUAUGGAAACGACUUGAAUAUUUUCGCCAUAAUUGUUGGGUAUAGUGUUUGGAUUCUGGGCCCUGCUAAGUGUCCUCUUUUUCAAUUUAUUAUACAAAAAGGCAUGCAAAUACCCAAUCAGCAAGCCCAGAACAAUAGUGCCGAACACCAUGGCCGCGAUAUAUCCACCAAUAGGAGACUCUUCUUUUGUCAUCGCUGUUUUCAGUCAAAAAUAAAAUAGUAAGAAAUAAAAACUAAAAAAUGGAAAAGUAUAAAAUGAAUCGAUGAUACUCCAACGAUUCAGGUCAACACCACUAUAUCGAUCCAAGUGGGUUUUUGUUUUAACUAAUGUUAUUUCGUUUUUCUUGUUAGUGUGAACAGUAAACAAAUCAAGCAUAUCAUGGCAUGGUAGGUAUUAGUGCAGCAAACAAUAUUAAUUAAUAACAAAACAAAAUAAAUCAAAGAAAGUAAAGUAAAAUGAAGUACUUAGGAUGGAUUGAAAGAAAAAAAGUAUAUUGAAAGAAUGAGUGUACCGAGAUGCUUUUUUAUUAUCCUUUUUCUGCCGAAUCUCCUCCUCUUUAUCUCAUGCUUAUAGACCCAUAUUUAUACUCUCAUGUUAUUAGGGUUUUAGUCAUUAAUCAUAUAAAUCAAUCAAAUCCUACCCUUACAAACUUACAAAAAAAAUUUGUCAAAAAAAAUCAAUUUAAAAAUUAUUACAUAAGAAACAAAUAAAAAACCUAUCAAAUUCACCGUAAACAAAAAAAAAAUUAUUAAAUAUAAAUCAAUCAAAUCCUCCCCUUACAAAAACUUGUAAAAAAAAAAAAAAUUUAAAAUUUAUUACAUAAGAAACAAUUAAAAAACCUACCAAAUUCACCGUAAACAAAAAAAGUAUAUAUUAAAAAGAUCUAUUGGUCAAAAGAAAUAUAUAUUAAAAAGAACUUCUACUGAAAAUUUUAAUUUCCCCUCAUCAAUUUUUUUUUUAAUCAAAAAGAGGGCCUUGAGCCCGAGAAAAGAAGAUUACACCGAAAUAAAGUGAGGGUUAGUGAUCCCUAAAAUAUCCGCUACUAACAAAUACCUAAUGUCAUUUCUCCUCAUCAAUUUUAAUAAUACUAGUAAGAAAAUCAAAAAAUAAAAUAAAAAUCACUAGUCCAACGCAUGUUCCUUACCCGUGUGAUGCCCACAUGUCCUCAACCAAGUGACCUCUCG
rnacentral:lncRNA from 1 species